rnacentral:rRNA from 1 species
CCUACGGGGGGCAGCAGUGAGGAAUAUUGGUCAAUGGGCGGAAGCCUGAACCAGCCAAGUCGCGUGAGGGAAUAAGGCCCUACGGGUCGUAAACCUCUUUUGCCGGGGAGCAAGGGCCGGGACGCGUCCGGGCCCGGAGAGUACCCGGAGAAAAAGCAUCGGCUAACUCCGUGCCAGCAGCCGCGGUAAUACGGAGGAUGCGAGCGUUAUCCGGAUUUAUUGGGUUUAAAGGGUGCGUAGGCGGGCUUUUAAGUCAGCGGUAAAAAUUCGGGGCUCAACCCCGUCCGGCCGUUUAGACUGGGGGC